CAUCUCCACUUGCAGUUUCCAUUUCUGCAGGUGAUGAGCUGAAGUGACCCAUAGAUCUGGAGCUCACUGUGGAGACAGUCAGCUGGAGAUAUCAGACCUCCCCGCGGGCCCCUGCGCAGACAGGAACAUCACAGAAGCACCCCCUGGAGUGAAGUGACCCCGGAGAUCUGAAGCUCCCCACAGAGACGUCGGCUCAAGAUAUCGCUCUCCUCCCAGCCUCGUGCAGACAGGAAGGAACACCACAGCUCCUUCAGUGCACACAGAGGACCCCAGUGGGGAAAAAAAGAGACGAAACAGAGCGACAUCAUCGCCUUUCUACCGACUACAGAUUCGACUGUGCCAUCGCAACACAAUGACAGGAGUCAUCUGGGCAGUGCUGAUCUUCAGUCUGGCACAAACAGUGUUAAUAAAUCCAUUGUCUUCAAAUGAAAAAGGGGAUAUGGGACCAUCGUCUUCAAAUGAAAAAGGGGAUAAGGGUAGGUACAUUUUCCUCCUCGUGUGUUCCCAUCUCUUACAGUCAUAUU